GCAAAGAGAAAGAUGGUGUGCUGAAAAACAUGGCGUAACUCCACAGCGUAGAUGGCAGGUGCUCAGGAGAACAUGGUCAAGCCCACAGUUAAUUUAACAAAGUCAGAAUGGUGCAAGAUGCACAGGCAAAAGCUCAGACCUAAGAAGAAAUAUAAUGCCACCAUCUUAAAUCCUUGUUAGUCACAAGAAGUUUCAGCUCAGCUUUAACUCUUCAUUUCUUUUGAGUGGUUGACAUAAUUAGUAUUUAAUUAGCUGAUGGAAGAGAGCUUUUAAAGCCUAUGGUCAGAGGGAACAAAAGUUAUUGUUAGUCAUUAUGUUUGAGAACUCAUGGAGGACAGAUGACGUCCCAGAGGGUGAAAGGGCAAACAUAAUACUGCCUUUAAAAAAGGGAACAUAAGAGGCCCUGAGGAAUUCUAGGCCAGUCAGCUUAACUUUGAUACCUGGAAAGAUACUGGAACAAAUUAUUAAACAACCAAUUUAUAAGGAUAACAGUCAGCAUGGAUAUGCCAAACAAAAGCAUGCUACCCCCCAUCUAAUUUCCUUCUUUAACAGACUUACUGGCCUAAUGGAUAAGCAAUAUAGGUGAUACCUUGAUUUUAGUAAAGCUUUCGACAGAGUUCCCCCCAUGACAUUCUCAUAAUGAAAUUAGGGAAAUGUGGUCUAGGUGAAAUUACCAUAAGGUGGGUAUAUAACUGGUUGGAAGUCCAUACUCAAAGAGUAGUUAUCAGAGCUAAAUACUGGAAUAGGUUUCCGAGGGACAUCGUGGAAUCCCCGUCACUGGAGAUUUUUAAGUUAGGCAAACCCCUCUCAGGUCUAGGUCUACUUGGUCCUGCCUCAGCACAGGGGCUGGACUUGAUGACCUCAAGGUCCCUUCCAUCCCUACAUUUCUAUGAAAAGUUGCUUGGCAAAGUUACAUUAAUUUACAUAAUCACUAGCCUGUUCUGAUCAUUUUACUUCUAGCGAGGAGGCUGGAGGUUCCUCAGCCUGUACAAUGACUGCGCUACCCUAGGUCACCAGAGAAUUUGAGGAACAGGAGCUAAGCUAUGCCGUUAAUUUUGUAAGGUUACAGCAAAUUUUUCUGGUAAAAUUUUUGUCUAGCUAAUUCCAUCUUAGCAAAGAAGCCUUUUCCUUCCUGGAACUUUUGUACCCAUAUUCAUGUUCCCUUUCAAAAACAAAGUUUCUGCUAAAUCUUAGAUUUCUUCUGUGAGCCUGAAGCAGUAAUUUCUGGGAAAAUUUUAAGCACAUUAUAGAGAUCCAGCUAGGACCCAACAGCAACUGUAUUAAGGAUUUAACAUUCCUAGCAUCAGGGUAUUUAAACUGUGCACUAAAUUAAAGGAGCACAAAUUCCCAGAACAAAUAGAUGUUUCCUCUCUCUGCUCCUCCAGGGAAAAUAAUUAACUGUGACAGCAAUGGUAGUUACUUGGCAAACUUCUCACACAUUAUAUAAAAAAAUAUUCUGCUAUGAAGCAUGCAGGUUAGAGGAAGUGCUAGUGUAAGCCACACACCUUCUGGGUGUGAUGUUCUGUCCUAUCUAGUGGCACCAAGACCACUUGGAGAGACAUAAAAUGAGUCUGCUCUACCACCUUAGCUAACAUGCACUUUAGCUCAUGCACUAAGCUUCAAAGGUCCCAGAUCCGAUCCCGCCCGGCGACUGGGGUCUGUUGGUGUUAGACUAGAAUAACAUUAAUUCUCAGAAGCACUGGUAGCAUCAACCAUUGUUUAAUUCAUGAAUGAUGUACCAUUACUGCCUGCAGACAUUCAGUCCUUAUAACCAGAUCUCCCCACUUAUAUUAGCCUAGAACUGGAGGCUGCUUACAAUACAGUGACAAACUAGAGCAUAGCUUCUGCUCUUUGGAAUCAGAUUCAACUUUAUAUCCCAAACAGCGUUAGCGAGGCCUGGUUGGUCUCUGCCUGAUAGGAGGCACUGAUUGCUAUUAAACACGGUCCUCCAAUCCAAAACAUUUAUUGGCCCGGACUGAUUACUCUGCUCUUCUGGAGUAGCCCAGAGUACAUUUUCUAGACUGCCAACCACAUGCAUGAUUAUGAGGAUGGAUCCGAACGCUUGGAGAGGUAAGCUGAUACCAGCAGAAUUCAGGUGCACUAAGAAUGUAGAAUCUGCAGACAUAUAUCUUCCACUGCACUGAGAUAGAGAAUGCCAGGCUAGACGGCUUCAGGAAAAUGGGGUCAUUGUUCUAGGAGCAAACGGCUAACGGGUUCACAGGACUGGUCUGCUCUAAGCCAUCUCAAAAGUAGCACCAACCACCUUUCAACAUCAUGAAUAUCACCAUUUCCAUGUCACUUGCUGCCUUGUCUUAUGAGGAUCUGCUGCAAGGAAAGAAUUCCCGGUAUGGUGCUUUGGUUAUAACAGGUUCCAUUUAUAGUUUCACACAAACUUUAAAGAAAGUUACUUCCAACUUCUUAUCAGUACAAAAUUAUUUUCAAAACUUGCCAGUUUCUCUUAUCAUACACAGUAAUGACUACUUAAUUUCAGAUGUGGUAGGCCCCCUGGUUAAAGGCAGAUGUUUUAUCUCUCCCCUCCACAGUGCACUGUACAGAACCACCAGUUAUGCAGAUUAUAGUGGAAUACAAAACUCCAUUAUGUGAAAGGACAUUACAAUUAAAAAGUGGAUUUUUACCCCAAUUUGCCAUGAAAAAUCAUUUCCAAGUGUUUCACUUGCUAGGAUCAUGCUGCCAUCUCUCAUUUGCUCCACUGCCUUUUUAGAGGCGGAAUUCAAAAGCUCCCAAUUGUGUUCCUUAUUACCGCUCCCCCACAUAAAACAUCACUGAAUAGCUCUUCACUAUAUAGAAGAAAACAGUGUGAAGUUGCCAUAUUGACUCGUUGCUAAUAUGGGCUCUUCCACCAAUACUUCAAGACAGUACUACAGCAUGCACCAAAAAGACACAGAACAAUACACAUCAAUCUCAAUGACUAGAGUGAUGAAGCUGUAAAUAAUACCCAAGAAUAGUAAUCCAAGAGCCUGAAGUCUUGUACUUGCUGUGUGUUACGUCUUUGUAACUAACAGAAAUUCCAGCUGUUUAAGAAGCCAUGGGGCAGCAGGUGGCAUCUAAAGACACACAUUUGGCCUAGUACAGAAAAGUCUGUUCCAUACAACGGUUUCCUCUCCUGCUGAUGAAAAGCACGUAGACACCCACAGAGGCAAAAGCACUUUGUUUGGCAGUGUCAGAAUUCCAUAGUUGUCUGUACAUUCAUUGGGCUGGAACAACAACCUGAAAAUUCAGGACUGAUGUUUCAAUCCUUCCUUCAUUCGUCCACAGCCAAGUUAUCAUUUGUUGGGUUUAAAAAAAAAAUUAAAG